GAACCCCUGAAAAAUGCAGGAUAGUGUGCCUUGAGGACCAGGGAUGAAAAACACUGGAUUAGAGAUUCUGAAAGCUUACAUCUGAGUAAUGUGUCGGACAUUGAUGUUGGUCUUGUUGCGAUAGUACAUAGACACAUCAGCAUUCUCGUUGAUGGUGAUACAAGUCUACUCAUUACAAAAUGCACUGAUGGUGAAUGUUUCCAGUGUCCAUUUUGUCAACACAAGGGUGUCAAAGCAAAGGCUGAAUAACCUCAACGGCCAUUCUUCAGUUAAACACAAAGGAUUUACAAUAAUCAAGUGUGGGUUGAAUUGUCGAAGGCAAAACAUUUUCACUGCUGCUAUUGCACAGCAACAAUUAUAAAUAGA